GACGAACGCUGGCGGCGUGCUUAACACAUGCAAGUCGAACGGAAAGGCCCUGCUUUUGUGGGGUCCUCGAGUGGCGAACGGGUGAGUAACACGUGAGUAACGUGCCCUUGACUGUGGGAUAUCUUCAUGACACUGGGGCUAAUACCGGAUAGGAUCUCCUGCUGCAUGGUGGGGGUUGGAAAGAUUCGGUGGUUGGUGAUGGAAUGGCGGCUUAUCAGCUUGUUGGUGGGGUAGUGGCUUACCAAGGCCUUGACGGGUAGCAGGCCUGAGAGGGUCAGCGGACACACUGGGACGGAGAUACGACACAGACUCGUAUGGGACGGAGGGGUGCAGUAUAGUGUACAAUGGGCGGGGGCCAGGCGCAGCAAAGCAGUGUGGGGUAAGUCGGGAUGCGGGUAGGGAUGUAAUUUUGCUUGAGACGAAGCGAGAGUGACGGUAACGGGUGAAGAAGCACCGGCUAACUACGUG
rnacentral:rRNA from 1 species